rnacentral:tRNA from 1 species
GAGGGGAUAGCUCAGUUGGUAAAGUGCUUGCCUUGCAAGCAUGAGGGCCUGAGUUUGAUACCCAGAACCUACA